GAUGAACGCUAGCGGCAGGCUUAACACAUGCAAGUCGAGGGGUAUAGUUCUUCGGAACUAGAGACCGGCGCACGGGUGCGUAACGCGUAUGCAAUCUACCUUUUGCAGAGGGAUAGCCCCAGAGAAAUUUGGAUUAAUACCUCAUAGUAUAGCAGUUUCGCAUGAAACCACUAUUAAAGUCACAACGGCAAAAGAUGAGCAUGCGUCCCAUUAGCUAGUUGGUAAGGUAACGGCUUACCAAGGCUACGAUGGUAGGGGUCCUGAGAGGGAGAUCCCCCACACUGGUACUGAGACACGGACCAGACUCCUACGGGAGGCAGCAGUGAGGAAUAUUGGACAAUGGGCGAAAGCCUGAUCCAGCCAUGCCGCGUGUGUGAAGAAGGUCUUCGGAUUGUAAAGCACUUUAAGUUGGGAGGAAGGGUAGUAACCUAAUACGUUGCUACUUUGACGUUACCGACAGAAUAAGCACCGGCUAACUUCGUGCCAGCAGCCGCGGU
rnacentral:rRNA from 1 species